rfam:Klebsiella pneumoniae IS43, WGS project CBWK01000000 data, contig: c93
CUUCCGAUGUUGGCCCGCCAGUUAACCUGCACGCCGGGCCUGUUUAGGUGCAGGUUUUUUCUU